rnacentral:lncRNA from 1 species
GGCUGGGCCGGGAAGCAGCCCCCGGCGCCCCGGCCGAAGGAGAAAAGGAGAAGGGUAAAAAUAGCCGGCGGCCACGGCCCACGUGCAGCCGCGGGAGGACCGAGCGCGGGCGCGUGGAGAGGGGUCCGUACCUCCAAACAUGCGCGGUGAGAGGUGAGCUGGUAAGGAGCCGAUCACCAGGAGCGGCCCGCCGGGGCUCCAGCCCACCGGCCGGUGCCGGCCGCCGCCGCCAUCCUCAGGGCUGCUGUGCACCGAGUCCUGCGAGUCCUACGGGCCGCUGCUGCUGUUCGGGAUGCUGAAAGAGGACUGCGCCGCGAAGGCCCCCGACGCCACGCCCCCCCGAGGAAACAGCUGCGGGGCCGCCGCGGCGCCGCCGGGCUGGUAAUCAUAGCCUCCUGGUAUCGCACAUCCAUGGGAAUACUGAAUUUAUUUGGACUAGAAACUAACACCUGCUGGAAUGUCACCAGAAUAGAACCUCUUAAUGAAGUUCAAAGCUGUGAAGGCAUGUUUCUUCCAAAAAUGCUGUCAUUUGUAAACAUUCAUAAACAUUUAAUAAUAUUAUGAUUCACUUUAAAGAAUUAUUGUAAAAUACUGUUGUUGAUUUAAAAAAAAAUUAGAACUGGCUCACCUCAAUGAGUAUUUUACAUUUUAAAGUAGUUUUCUGAGAAGGCUGUGUACUUACAAAUUUGAGUAUAAAUUUUGGAAUUUGAGUAUUAACAUAUCCCAUUGUAAGGCAACCUUGACUAUAAGUUAGUCUUCUAUUUCAGAAUGCGAAGAUACAGACAGAUGUUUUUUGGGGUAGCUUCAAUAUAUAAAUUUUGAGGAUAGAUUAAAGAGUCAAAUAUCUAUUUGUAAUAGCUAAUGUAUAAAUUUAAUUAUGCAUACAUAUUUAAAAAUCGGAUAUGCAAUAAUAGAUUGAUUUAGAAACAUUACUUUUUUAUAUAUGCUCAUAGUCCGUGAGUAGUAUUAAUAAAACUCUUCCUAUUUAUCUUCUA